CCCAUCACCGACGAUGACCUGAUCUCCUUCAUCCUGGCUAGACUGGAUAUGGAGUACCAUCCACUCAUCUCCGCCUCCAUGUCUGCGCUAACCCACUCCUUGUUGAUGAUCUGUUCGACAUGCUAAUGAACUUUGAUU
rnacentral:snoRNA from 1 species